rnacentral:rRNA from 1 species
AACGAACGCUGGCGGCAUGCCUAACACAUGCAAGUCGAACGAGACCUUCGGGUCUAGUGGCGCACGGGUGCGUAACGCGUGGGAACCUGCCCUUAGGUUCGGAAUAACUCCCCGAAAGGGGUGCUAAUACCGGAUAAUGUCUUCGGACCAAAGAUUUAUCGCCUUUGGAUGGGCCCGCGUUGGAUUAGCUAGUUGGUAGGGUAAAAGCCUACCAAGGCGACGAUCCAUAGCUGGUCUGAGAGGAUGAUCAGCCACACUGGGACUGAGACACGGCCCAGACUCCUCGGGGAGGGAGCGGUGGGGAAUUUGGGAAAAGGGGCGAAAGCCUGACCCAGCAAGCCCGGGGGGGUGAUGAAGGCCUUAGGGUUGUAAAGCUCUUUUCCCCGGGAUGAUAAUGCCAGUACCGGGAAAAUAAGCCCCGCCUAACUCCGG